GUCCUCUUUAUUUUAGCAAUUAGAUUUUGCCUGGUCAUUAAUCAUGCAUAUUCAUGAAAUUGGUAUACAGGUGACUUUUAUCUAUAAAUAGCCGAAUCUUCUGGAGUUUCGUAAACAACAACGUUAAACGAUAAUAUAUACUAUUUCAUAACGUGUGACCUCACGUGUGUGGUAAAAUUUGUUGAUUGAUGCACGUGGCUAUUCUAGUAAAUGAAUUAACCUACAAAGCGAGAGCACUUUCCAUUUUCAUCAGCUAGGAGACGACUAGCCCUUUUGGAAAGGCUAAUACUUGUCGCUAAUAUUAAAUUGAUAAAGAUUUUAUCGAGGUCGCACCAACUGUUUCUACAGCUAAGAUCAGUUACAUGUAACAUGAUCUCGUCGAUUCGCACGACGAAGCCAUUGUUUAUGACAGAAC
rnacentral:lncRNA from 1 species